UCUCAACUCGUCAGGCCUCACCUCCAUCUUUCCUGAGCACGGAAUUCAUGUGAAAAACAGAAGUGGUUCAUGCCCUUGUCGAUAAUUCCAGCUUCAUCCUGCAGGCAGGAGCAGUGCUGACAGCAAAACACGGUGCUUCAGCUCUACAGCACCUUUCACCUCUCACUCUCUGAAUGAAACAAGAGGGAAAGUUCAUUUCUUGUAAAACCAAACUUAAAUAUCUACACAGCUGAAAGGUGAGAAUUUUCAAAACCAAGCUGCAGAUCAAGGAUUAUUCACAGAACUUCUGCAUCAGAAAAUUUCAACUAGCAAGUAUGCCACAAAAAUGCCAUCUGUUUGAGGAAAACACUCAAGCAGAGAUAGAAGCAAAAUAAAUUAUGGGUGGAUUAUUUGUCUGCUUUUAGAAAACUUAAUGUUUUUUAAGAAUGUUUUGUAACGUAUGUGCAAAAUGUUAGACUGAAAGCGGUAGCGCAGACUACUGCUGCACUGACGUUCAAAAAGGCCUGGAAAAACAAAGCACUGUGCUGUCUAUCGGUGCUUUUCCCACACAGAACAUGGGAAUUCCCUUCAGAAAAAGGAAAUCUAUCCCUUUGUUUCUGAUAGGUACUGAUACCUAUUUUGGUAAUGGUGAGGGGACAGGAAUACAACCACCACAUCUCUAGCACCACCAGCACCACCCACAGCAAAGGAAAUGGAAAAUAUUUUCCAGCGUUCAGCUCUGUUGGCCCUCUCAACAUGAUGGUCCUAUGGCAAAGAAGGGCUUUAAGGUGACUAGAGGUGUACGUGCAAGGUGCCUGCUAUGGGAGGAGAUCUGUCCCCUCGAGAUCCCCAGAGAGACAAAGUGCUCUGCCAGCCAGAAGAAAUUGGAUAGAAGCCUCAGCAUCACCGGAGCUCUCAGCACAGCCCACAUGGAGCACAAUUAGCAGUUCAAGGUGAAGUCCCAGGCUGCAGGACUCUAUGAUCUCUGCAUGGAAACUGGAGAAAGCUGGACUCGGCCACUCCCUUCCUGCAGUACAUUCUAUUUGAAUGGGAGCCUUUCAAGUUAAUGACUUCUUACUGUCAGCCCUUUAGGAUUUUGUUCUGUCACACAGGAAAAGAAAUAGAGGCCAAAUGACCCUGCUUUCCAAACACAAUCUGUGGUAUGAAGCACUUAACGGGGAGAGAGUCUUUAAUGCCAGGCUGGAUUUACAAGUUGUUCCUGAAGAUAGAUUCCACAGACUGUCAAGAUGUCACCCAAGGUUGCCAGGCACUCAGUUUUCAGGCAUUCACUUCUGUUCAAAGAUGUAUUUAAGACGGUGAAAUGAGCCUCCGUUGCUUUUGCUUUUCCAGCUCAAUCAAUUUUUAAUACUCAUAAUACAUUAAGGAAAUGUGAAACAAUUAUCUCAGUCACAGUACUUUGGUUUGUCUAAUAACACAUUUGAUGAUGCUGUUUAAAAAAAA